rnacentral:lncRNA from 1 species
UUUCAAAAUUAUUACUUUUUUCACGAAAAUUGUUAAUUUUAGUAGCAAAAACUUAUAAUUUUAAUUAUUUGGUUAACUAAUUAUUGUUGUAAGAAAAAAUAAAUAUUGAUAUGAGUAAAGAUAAUAUUAAAAAAACUUAAAAAAAUAGAAAAAAGUUUAAAAAGUGUUGAAAAUAAAAAAUUAAACAAAAAAAAUAAAGAAGCUAACAAAAAGAAAAACAAAAAAACAGAAGAAAAACAAAUAAAAACGCAUAUAUAAAGAAAAAAAAUGCAAGAAACAAGAGGAGAAAAGGAAAUAGAGGUUUGAAAAAUAUGAAAG